rnacentral:rRNA from 1 species
CCUACGGGAGGCAGCAGUGAGGGAUAUUGGUCAAUGGGGGAAACCCUGAACCAGCAACGCCGCGUGAGGGAAGACGGUUUUCGGAUUGUAAACCUCUGUCCUCUGUGAAGAUAAUGACGGUAGCAGAGGAGGAAGCUCCGGCUAACUACGUGCCAGCAGCCGCGGUAAUACGUAGGGAGCAAGCGUUGUCCGGAUUUACUGGGUGUAAAGGGUGCGUAGGCGGCCCUGCAAGUCAGAAGUGAAAUCCAUGGGCUUAACCCGUGAACUGCUUUUGAAACUGGCAAACUGGAGUGUGUGAGAGGAUAGUGGAAUUCCAGGUGUAGGAGUGAAAUCCGUAGAUAUCUGGAGGAACAUCAGUGGCGAAGGCGACUAUCUGGCACAUAACUGACGCUGAGGAGCGAAAGCGUGGGUAGCAAACAGGAUUAGAUACCCCGGUAGUC